CCUACGGGUGGCAGCAGUGAGGAAUAUUGGUCAAUGGGCGCGAGCCUGAACCAGCCAAGUAGCGUGAAGGAUGACUGCCCUACGGGUUGUAAACUUCUUUUAUAAAGGAAUCAAGUGAGGCACGUGUGCCUUUUUGUAUGUACUUUAUGAAUAAGGAUCGGCUAACUCCGUGCCAGCAGCCGCGGUAAUACGGAGGAUCCGCGCGUUAUCCGGAUUUAUUGGGUUUAAAGGGAGCGUAGAUUGGUUGUUAAGUCAGUUGUGAACGUUUGCGGCUCAACCGUAAAAUUGCAAGUUAUACUGGCAGUCUUGAGUACAGUUGGGGUAGGCGGAAUUCGUGGUGUAGCGGUGAAAUGCUUAGAUAUCACGAAGAACUCCGAUUGCGAAGGCAGCUUACUAAACUGCCACUGACAUUGAUGCUCGAAAGUGUGGGUAUCAAACAGGAUUAGAUACCCUUGUAGUC
rnacentral:rRNA from 1 species